rnacentral:tRNA from 1 species
GGCCGACUAGCUCAGUUGGUUAGAGCGUCGUGCUAAUACUACAGCCACAGUAAAAUGUUUAGCUCCAAAAGGAUUAUGCCCUUUACUGCGCUGGUAUACGCGAAGGUCUUGGGUUCGAUCCCCACGUUGGCCA